AAUCAACGCUGGCGGCGUGCCUCAGACAUGCAAGUCGAACGAUUAAGACUUCCUUCGGGAAGUGCACAAAGUGGCGCACGGGUGAGUAACACGUAAGUAAUCUACCCUCGAGUGGGGAAUAACGUUCGGAAACGGACGCUAAUACCGCAUAAUGCAGCGGCAUCGCAAGAUGACAGUUGUUAAAGGAGUAAUUCGCUUGAGGAGGAGCUUGCGGCAGAUUAGCUAGUUGGUAAGGUAACGGCUUACCAAGGCUACGAUCUGUAUCCGGUCUAAGAGGACGGUCGGACACACUGACACUGAAUAACGGGUCAGACUCCUACGGGAGGCAGCAGUCGGGAAUUUUGGGCAAAGGGCGAAAGCCUGACCCAGCAACGCCGCGUGAAGGAUGAAGUAUUUCGGUAUGUAAACUUCGAAAGAAUGGGAAGAAUAAAUGACGGUACCAUUUAUAAGCUCCGGCUAACUACGUGCCAGCAGCCGCAGUAAUAC
rnacentral:rRNA from 1 species